rnacentral:rRNA from 1 species
AGUGAACGCUGGCGGUAGGCCUAACACAUGCAAGUCGAACGGCAGCACAGUAAGAGCUUGCUCUUACGGGUGGCGAGUGGCGGACGGGUGAGGAAUACAUCGGAAUCUACUUUUUCGUGGGGGAUAACGUAGGGAAACUUACGCUAAUACCGCAUACGACCUACGGGUGAAAGCAGGGGAUCUUCGGACCUUGCGCGAUUGAAUGAGCCGAUGCCGGAUUAGCUAGUUGGCGGGGUAAAGGCCCACCAAGGCGACGAUCCGUAGCUGGUCUGAGAGGAUAAUCAGCCACACUGGAACUGAGACACGGUCCAGACUCCUACGGGAGGCAGCAGUGGGGAAUAUUGGACAAUGGGCGCAAGCCUGAUCCAGCCAUACCGCGUGGGUGAAGAAGGCCUUCGGGUUGUAAAGCCCUUUUGUUGGGAAAGAAAAGCAGCAGGUUAAUACCCCGCUGUUCUGACGGUACCCAAAGAAUAAGCACCGGCUAACUUCGUG